AUCCCUUGACAUCCAGAGAACUUACUAGAGAUAGUUUGGUGCCUUCGGGAACUCUGAGACAGGUGCUGCAUGGCUGUCGUCAGCUCGUGUUGUGAAAUGUUGGGUUAAGUCCCGCAACGAGCGCAACCCUUGUCCUUAUUUGCUAACAGUUAGGCUGAGAACUCUAAGGAGACUGCCGGUGACAAACCGGAGGAAGGUGGGGACGACGUCAAGUCAUCAUGGCCCUUACGAGUAGGGCUACACACGUGCUACAAUGGCCAGUACAGAGGGCUGCAAGAUCGCGAGAUGGAGCUAAUCCCACAAAACUGGUCGUAGUCCGGAUUGGAGUCUGCAACUCGACUCCAUGAAGU
rnacentral:rRNA from 1 species